UACGUAGGGUGCGAGCGUUAAUCGGAUUUACUGGGCGUAAAGCGUGCGCAGGCGGCCCGUUAAGACAGGUGUGAAAUCCCCGGGCUCAACCUAGGAAUUGCGCUUGUGACUGGCGGGCUCGAGUGCGGUAGAGGGGGGUGGAAUUCCUGGUGUAGCAGUGAAAUGCGUAGAGAUCAGGAGGAACACCGAUGGCGAAGGCAGCCCCCUGGGCCUGUACUGACGCUCAUGCACGAAAGCGUGGGGAGCAAACAGG
rnacentral:rRNA from 1 species